rnacentral:rRNA from 1 species
GGGUCAGUAGGUUGGUCGUGCCACAGGUACGUACUGGUCUCACUGAUUCCUCCUUCCUGAAGAACCGUAAUGCCAUUAAUUUGGUGUUGCGGGGAAACAGGACCGUUACUUUGAAAAAAUUAGAGUGUUUAAAGCAAGCUAACGCUUGAAUACAUUAGCAUGGAAUAAUGAAAUAGGACGAUCGAUCCUAUUUUGUUGGUUUCUAGGAUUGACGUA